rnacentral:rRNA from 1 species
UACGUAGGUGGCAAGCGUUGUCCGGAUUUACUGGGCGUAAAGAGCGCGCAGGCGGUCGUUUAAGUCGAAUGUGAAAGCCCCCGGCUCAACUGGGGAGGGUCAUUCGAUACUGAUCGACUUGAAGGCAGGAGAGAGAAGUGGAAUUCCCGGUGUAGUGGUGAAAUGCGUAGAUAUCGGGAGGAACACCAGUGGCGAAGGCGACUUCUUGGCCUGUUCUUGACGCUGAGGCGCGGAAAGCCUGGGGGAGCAAACAGG